rnacentral:lncRNA from 1 species
CUAGUGUUUACCAUUCGUUCCAUGGUUUUACAGACACAACUCGUUAAAAAGUUAAGGAUAAUCCAAUUCUUUCAUAUCACUGUAAUUAGUCUGUCAAAGCCUGACAGAUUCACUUUAGAAAAAUGAAAGACUGCAUACCAUACCAGAUUAACUAUAGAGGUAUGGAAGUAAAUAUGAAGCAAAUAAAGACUGCAUGUCAUGAUAAAUUACAUUGUAACUAUAGAACUAUGAAAGACUAUAUAUAAAGAAAGCAUGCCAUGACAUGAAUAACAAUAGCAAUAUGAAUGCAUCGAGUGACCCUAAUCGUUUUUCUGUCGUUUGGAAUUCCUUGUUACAUGUUGACUAUGUUGAAAUAAUUUUUUCAUUUUUAUUUUUUUUCUCUCAACAUGAUGGAACAGAUGGAACAAAUUCAUAGCACCAUUUACGUUAUUACCUUCUGGACAUAUAAAGUGAAUGUAUUGUUUUCAAAAUAUAUGUCUUACAGUGUAUCGUAUAACAUCAUAUUUUACCGUGUUCCUGUUAUUUAUAGGUGGAUAUUCCUUUGUCAUUGCUAUGCACCUAUUUCAUUUAGACGACCUAGUAAUGUUGGUAUGUCGUCUUUGACUGACAGACAGACAGACAGACAGAUAGACAGGUGUAUUUAUAGGUGGACAUACCUUUGUCCUUUCUAUUGCACCUAUUUCAUUUAGACGACCUAGUAAUGUUGGUAUGUCGUUUUUGACUGACAGACAGACAGGUGUAUUUAUAGGUGGAUAUACCUUUGUUAUUGCUAUUGCAUCUAUUUAAUUCCGACGACCUUGUUAUGUUGGUAUGUCGUCUUUGACAGACAGACAGGUGUAGACGUGUAUGUGAUCCAAAGGUCAAAGGUACAACACGUGCAAAAGGAUUUUGUGUAUAUGUACAUUAAAGGGUAAAUUGUACCUUGACAGUGAAGUGUAAAUAAGUGAAGAAACCAACGUAUGUGGAGAAAAACGUGUAAAUUAUGCAGAUGCUUUUUUGCCCUUACGCAAAAUAUUUGCUAUUGCACCACUCAAUUGCUGUGUAUAAUAACAACUACAUUCAUUGCAUCACUCAAUGGCAAUUUGAUUCAUUACAUUACUUCACUGCUGUCUAUAAUAGCACAUUUAAGUCACUCAACUGCUGUCUAAUAUAAUAGAAAUUUGAUUCAUUGCACCAUUUCACUGCUGUCUAUAAUAGUACAUUUAGUGUUGCAUCUUUCCACUGCUGUCUGUAAUAGCAAUUUUAGUUAAUGAAUCACUCCAUUGCUGUAUACAAUAGCAAUUUUAGUAAUUACAUCACUCCAUUGCUGUAUACAAUAGAAAUUUUAGUCAAUAUAUCACUCCAUUGCUGUCUGUAAUAGCAAUUUUAAUCAUUGCAUCACUCCAUUGCUGUAUAUAAUAGCAAUUUUAGUUAAUGCAUCACUCCAUUGCUGUAUACAAUAGCAAUUUUAAAAAUGCAUCACUCCAUUGCUGUCUGUAAUAGCAAUUUUAGUCAAUGCAUCACUCCAUUGCUGUAUAUAAUAGUACAUUUAGUGUUGCAUCUUUCCACUGCUGUCUGUAAUAGCAAUUUUACUUAAUACAUCACUCCAUUGCUGUCUGUAAUAGCAAUUUUAGUCAAUGCAUCACUCCAUUGCUGUAUAUAAUAGUACAUUUAGUGUUGCAUCUUUCCACUGCUGUCUGUAAUAGCAAUUUUACUUAAUACAUCACUCCAUUGCUGUCUGUAGUAGCAAUUUUUGUCAUUGCAUCAGUCCAUUGCUGUCUGUAACAGCAAUGUUAGUCAUUGCUUCAUCCCGUUGCUGUCUCUAAAAGCUAUAACAUUCAUUGCAUCACUCCACUGCUGUGUAUAAUAGCAAUUUAAGUAAUUGCAUCACUCAAUUGCUGUUUAUAAUAGCAAUAUGAUUCAUUGCAUCACACCACUGCUGUUACUGGAAUCCAUGCAGGUAG